rnacentral:rRNA from 1 species
AGUACUCGAGUGGCGAACGGGUGAGUAACACGUGGGUGAUCUGCCCUGCACUUCGGGAUAAGCCUGGGAAACUGGGUCUAAUACCGGAUAGGACGAUGGUUUGGAUGCCAUUGUGGAAAGUUUUUCGGUGUGGGAUGAGCUCGCGGCCUAUCAGCUUGUUGGUGGGGUAAUGGCCUACCAAGGCGUCGACGGGUAGCCGGCCUGAGAGGGUGUACGGCCACAUUGGGACUGAGAUACGGCCCAG